rnacentral:rRNA from 1 species
GGGUGGGAACUCCAGGGAGACUGCCGGUGAUAAACCGGAGGAAGGUGGGGACGACGUCAAGUCAUCAUGGCCCUUACGAGUAGGGCUACACACGUGCUACAAUGGCGCAUACAGAGGGCAGCCAACUGGCGAGAGGGAGCGAAUCCCAAAA